AUUCAAAUCAGUUCAUUUCUGAGGUGUCAAAAUACCCCUUGAUGUAUUGGCAAGUUAAUAGGAACAAAUUCCCUCUCCUAUCAAUAACUUCCAUGUCCUGAUCAAGCAAUAUCUUGCACAACAUUAUAUAAUUAGCUCCUGUCAAAAGACUAUUUACAAUUGCUGUUGUCAGACCAGAAGAUUCAGACUAAUUGACAAAACAUUUAAAUAACUAUAUUAAAU
rnacentral:lncRNA from 1 species